GUAAAAUUCCGUGGAGGUCCGAACCACGUUGGUGUUGAAAAACCAUGGGAUGAGCUGUGGAUAGCGGAGAAAUUCCACUCGAACUCGGAGAUAGCUGGUUCUCCUCGAAAUAGCUUUAGGGCUAGCGUCGGGUAAUUGAGUAGUGGAGGUAGAGCACUGAAUGGGCUAGGGGCUGACAACAGUUACUGAACCCUAUCAAACUCCGAAUGCCAUAUACUUGUACCCCGGCAGUCAGACUACGAAUGAUAAGAUCCGUGGUCAAAAGGGAAACAGCCCAGACCAUCAGCUAAGGUCCCAAAGUGUAAGUUAAGUGGGAAAGGAUGUGGGAUUUCUAAGACAACUAGGAUGUUGGCUUAGAAGCAGCCACUCAUUUAAAGAGUGCGUAAUAGCUCACUAGUCGAGAGAUCCUGCGCCGAAGAUGUAACGGGGCUCAAACUUACCACCGAAGCUAUGGAUGUGUACUUUGUACACGUGGUAGAGGAGCUUUCUGUACAGGUUGAAGUCAUACCGUAAGGAGUGGUGGACAGUACAGAAGUGAGAAUGCUGGCAUAAGUAGCGAAAAACAAGUGAGAAUCUUGUUGACCGAAUAUCUAAGGUUUCCUGGGGAAGGCUCGUCCUCCCAGGGUUAGUCGGGACCUAAGCCGAGGCCGA
rnacentral:rRNA from 1 species